rnacentral:rRNA from 1 species
UACGUAGGGGGCAAGCGUUGUCCGGAAUCACUGGGCGUAAAGCGCGUGUAGGCGGCCCAUUAAGUCUGAUGUGAAAGCCCGGGGCUCACCCCCGGAAGUGCAUUGGAAACCGAUGGACUCGAGUCCCGGAGAGGAGGGUGGAAUUCCUGGUGUAGCGGUGAAAUGCGUAGAUAUCAGGAGGAACACCGGUGGCGAAGGCGGCCCUCUGGACGGUGACUGACGCUGAGACGCGAAAGCGUGGGGAGCAAACAGG